GUCUAUGGCCAUACUACCCUGAACACACCCAAUCCUGGAAGCUAAGCAGGGUCGGGCCUGGCUAGUACUUGGAUGGGAGAAACUGUACGUGUGUAACCU
rnacentral:rRNA from 1 species